CAUGCUAAUAAUUGUGGAAAUGCUUUAUCGUAUGCAUAUAAUAGACAUCAGAGUAGAAACGGGACUUUUAUUUUGGUCUGGCGAUGUGACGUCAUAAAGCCGCGCCCCUUCUAGCCUUAACCCGCGCCCCGAGUCUGAUGUGAUUCGGCUGAAGGAAGGACAAAGUGUCCAAACACACAGAAAAACUCCUGCUGAAGCGACUGAGAUCCAUGUGACACGCGAUUAUAAAGAUGGUGUUUAUUAAAGAUGAGAGUGAAGACAUGAAGAUUGAAGAAACUUUCAGUCUGAAACAUGAAGAUACUGAGGAACAAACAGACCUGAUGGAACUGAAAGAGGAGAAUCAAGAACAGAAUGAAACGGAAGAGAAAGAUCAGAAUGAGAAACAUCAUGAUUUCAAAACUGAAGAAAAAUCAAUUAGUUGCUCACUGACUGAAAAGACUUCCUCACCAAAAAAAGCUGAAAAAACCCAAAUGAGAAUUCAUACUGGAGAGAGACCAUUCACUUGCCAACAGUGUGGACAAGUUUUCAAUCAAAAAGGAUGCCUUAAAGUCCACAUGGAAAUUCACAUUGAAAAAAAAAAGUUAAUAUGCUCUAAGUGUGGAAAAUGUUUUACACGAAUAAAAAACCUUAGGACACACAUGAGAAUUCACACUGGAGUGAGACCUUACACCUGCUCUCAAUGUGGAAAUAAUUUUAUACGGAAAAAUCAUCUUAAUGCCCACAUGCGUAUUCACACUGGAGAGAAACCUUACACCUGCCAACUGUGUGGGAAGAGUUUCACACGAAAUGGAGGACUUACGACUCAUAUGAAAAUUCACAUUGAAAAGAAGCCAUUAAUAUGCUCUCAGUGUGGAAAGUGUUUUACACAGAAAAGAAGCCUUGAUGCCCACUUGAGAGUUCACACUGGAGAGAAGCCUUUCACCUGCCCUCAGUGUGGAAAGAGUUUCAGGCUCAAAGAAAGCCUAAGGGCUCACAUUAGAAUUCACACUGGAGAGAAUCCAUUCUCAUGUGAUCAGUGUGGAAAGAGUUACAGAUAUAAGAUAAACCUUAAUAAUCACAUGAAGAUUCACUCAAGAGAGAAGAGUUUUAAAUGUCAUCAGUGUGAAAGGAGUUUCACGGAGAGGGAACAUCUUAAGAAUCAUGUUAAAAUUCACAUCGGAGAAAAGCCUUUCAUGUGCCAUUACUGUGGAAAGAGUUGCUCAAAAAAAGCAAAACUCAAGAUUCACUUGAGAAUUCACACUGGAGAGAAACCUUUCACCUGCGAACAAUGUGGAAAGAGUUUCAGGGUUAAAGAAUGCCUUCAGGUUCACAAGGUAGUUCACACUGGAGAGAGACCUUACAAGUGUCCUCAGUGUGAGAAGAGUUUCACAUGUCAAAGUAGCAUGAUACGUCAUUUAAAAACUCAUUCUGGGAAGAAAUUGCCUUUUUCCUCAGAGUGACAAAGUUUGGAAAAAGGAACAAUUUCUAAAAUCAUCUGCAUAUUCAUUUUGGAAGACAUUCAUUUGUAGUCAUUGUAAUAACAUUUUUUGCCAUCACACAGAUACAUGUGAGAACCUGUUUAUGUUCUUUGUUGAAGAGUAUGACGAGAAAAUGCUGUGAAAUCAAGCGUUCAUGCUGCAGCUGAAUAUGGGCUACAUCUGAUUGUCACCUUCAUGCAUCCUGCUUCACCAUAAGGCUUUUUAUUUUCUUUUGUGCAUAUGUACUCUUGUGGCCAUUCCUGACUGUCUGCUGUAGUUUCAAAUACUGAACAGUUCUUCAGACUUAAUGCUUGCGUCGUUUAAAUGCAGUUGAUACUCCUGACACUUUACAUUGUGUAAAUGGCAGAAAGUCCUCUUAGUAGCUGCAAACAAACAAUAAACUAAAUUUUAUUCAAAUUUUAUUCGAAUGGGUUAAAGCAAGCAAAAAGCGCUCCCAUUACAAUGAAUGGAGCUGUAAUCACAUCAAUAUGUUCAUGAGUUCUAUACUGUAAUAAAAUCGAGUGCUGUCAAAUGAUUAAUCACAUCCAAAAUAAAAGUUUUUGUUUACAUAACAUAUGUGCAUGUACUGUGCAUAUUUAUUAUGUAUAUAUAAAUACACACAUACAGUAUAUAUUUUGAAAAUAUUUACAUGUAGAUAUUUCUAUUCAUGUAAUUAAUAUUAUAUAUAAAUACAGUGCUGGCCACUAAUAUUGGCACCCUUGGUAAAUAUGAGCAAAGGCAGCUGUGAAAAUAAAUCUGCAUAAUUUAUCUUCUUGAUCUUUCAUUCAAAAAAUUCUAAACUUUCAUUGAAGUAAAACGAUUGAAAGUUGGGGGAAACUCACAUUAUGAAAUAGAUGUUUUUCUCAAAUGCAUGUUGGCUACCAUUAUUGGCACCCCUAGAAAUUCUUAUGAGAAAAAUAUCUGUAGUAUUCAUUCAUAUGUACGUUUUGUUGCACACUGGGGUGACUGAAAUUGUCCAGUCAUGACUUCCUGUUCCACAGCAUUAUAAAUAUGAGGAACAUAAAGGCCAAAUUCCCUUAAUCAUCCAUCAAAAGGAGUAAAACCAAAGAAUAUAUUUCUCAUGUACAGAACAAGAUUGUUGAGCUUCACAAAAUAAAAAGUGGCUGUAAGAAAAUAGCUAAAACAGAAAAUCCCUAUUUCCACAAUCAGGGCAAUAAUUAAGAAGUUUCAAUCAACUAAAGAUGUUACAAAUCUGCCUGGAAGUGGACAUAUGUCUGUCUAUAUCGUCCUAAUGCACCGUGAGGAGGAGAGUUUGAGUGGCCAAAGCCUCUCCAAGGAUCACAGCCGGAGAACAGCAGAGAUUAGUUGAUCUUGGGGUCAGAAAGCCUAAAAAAAUGCCAUCAAUAAAAUGCACCUGUGUUCGUUGUCCAUAACAUAAGCCUGCCCAUACCAUAACCCCACCACUACCAUGGGCCACUCGAUCCACAUCAUUGACAUCAGCAAACCGCUCACCCACACGACGCUGUCUGCCAUCUGCCCUGUACAGUGAAAACCGGGAUUCAUCCAUGAAGAGAACACCUCUCCAUAUCGAAUGUGAACAUUUGUCCACUCAAGUCGGUUACGACGACGAACUGCAGUCAGGUCGAGACCCCGAUGAGGACGACGAGCAUGGAGAUGAGCUUCCCUGAGAUAGUUUCUGACAGUUUGUGCAGAAAUUCUUUGGUUAUGCAAACCGAUUGUUGCAGCAGCUGUCCGGGUGGCUGGUCUCAGACGAUCUUGGAGGUGAAGAUGCUGGAUGUGGAGGUCCUGGGCUGGUGUGGUAACAUGUGGUCUGCGGUUGUGAGGCCGGUUGGAUGUACUGCCAAAUUCUCUGAAACGCCUUUGGAGACGGCUUAUGGUUGAGAAAUGAACAUUCAUUUCACGGGCAACAGCUCUGGUGGACAUUCCUGCAGUCAGCGGAGCAUUGUAAAAUUAAUAGUCAGCUGGAACAAGUUCAGAAUAUGGACUGAGGUCCCCUACCUUCACCCAGGACCCGGUGAUAAACAGAAAAUCCAAGUCGUGAACUGUGAUAAAAUCAUAAAGGAUGAACGUCUUAUUUACCAGAGAGUGAGCGUUUAUCAGCACAAUCUUUGGGGAGCGUAGAAUAGUGCACGAAGCCGAUGCUUUGCUCAGAGGGCAGAGGUUAGCAGUAUUUGCACCCUCACAGCGCGGCCGGAUAAUGAUCCAAGAGUGGAGGUUUUCGGCUUGAACCAGUGAGUCAAGCGAAGCAGGAGUAGAAGCAGGGGGGUCCGUUGCGAUUUGCCUGAGCCAACGUGUCACUGGGGUUGGCCGAUCUAGCGCCGUAAAGCGGUCCAACACCUGUCCCGUGACCGAGGCAGAGAACUGAGUAGCGCCAAACAGCCAGCUCUCAUGAAGGUCUUAUUCUGAUGAUCACACCCCCGCGUUUUCCACGUCUUCUCCAACGCUUUCUUGGAGUAGUGUCCAGAGGUACUCACCAGAGGAAAGCCGGGACGUCCCGCAAGAGAGUCCCAUGUGUGUGGCCGUCGAAAUUACCCAAUUUCGCAUCCAGUACGCCUACACAGGAACUACGAAUGUCCAGUAGAGUCUGAUGAUCAUACGUGAGAGACUCAACAUAGUUGUUGGGCAGCAGGGCAAUAAAUACAACCAAGCAAUAAACAGAGUCGAGAGCAGCAGACGGCUCGCCAUGUACACAGGCGCCAUCUUUAGUCAGAAAGUAAUGGAGCAUUCUCAAAGAACAAAAAGAAGGAAAAUAGCUGCAAAAGUGGCUGAACAUUUCCGUCUCGUUUCACAGCAGAUUGACCAACCACUGCAUUUUAAUUUGGAAUCUGCUUAUGGUGAACCAUUGGAGAAUGAUCCUUUGGAGAUCUAUCAUGAUUCUGUCGCGGAUGUUUCACAGAAUGUAGAAAAUUAAUACACCACAGACAUUUUUAUGAUGCUUGGGACGAUGACAUAUUCAAUGAUUUUGAAAAUGGGAUGCCUGCUGAUGCCAGUGACUUUGACUUGGACUUUGAAUGUUCAGAUUCAGAGGAUGCUGUUUCUGAGAAAUUAGAUGAUACACGUGGACUUGCAGAGUGGGCUGCAGAAUACAACAUAUCACAAAAUGCGUUGUCUGCGCUUCUGAAAAUUCUCAAACAAAAAGGGCUUGAUUUGCCAGUGGAUGCUAGAACCCUAAUGUGCACAGAACGCAAGUGUAAUGUGAAAAAUUAAUAAAUGUACAAUACAAAUGUUAAUGUACAAAAAAAAAAUUCACAAACAUUAAUUCAAUGUUCAAGUCAUUAAAAAAAAUCCUGAAAUUGUAUUAUUUGUCAUUUAUAUAAAAUAGCAAUAAAUACAUGUGCAUGAAGUUGUUAUUUGUGUCCAUGCUUACUAGUUACUCACCACUACUGUAGUUUCUUAUUU